rnacentral:rRNA from 1 species
CAGUCGCCGCGGGAAUACGUAGGUGGCAAGCGUUGUCUGGAAUUAUUGGGCGUAAAGCGCGCGCAGGCGGAUAGGUCAGUCUGUCUUAAAAGUUCGGGGCUUAACCCCGUGAUGGGAUGGAAACUGCCAAUCUAGAGUAUCGGAGAGGAAAGUGGAAUUCCUAGUGUAGCGGUGAAAUGCGUAGAUAUGUGUCGGAACACCCAUGGCGAAAGCACCCUUCUGGACGCAAAUUGACGCUCAGGCUCGAAAGCCAAGGUAGCGAACAGGAUUAGAUACCCCCGUAGUCCCUGUCUCUUAUACC